rnacentral:rRNA from 1 species
CUACGGGCGGCUGCAGUGAGGAAUUUUGCGCAAUGGGGGAAACCCUGACGCAGCAACGCCGCGUGAGCGAAGAAGGCCCUCGGGUCGUAAAGCUCUGUCAAGUGGGAAAAAGGCCUUUUGAUUAAUACCCAAAAGGUUUGAUGGUACCACUGGAGGAAGCACCGGCUAACUCCGUGCCAGCAGCCGCGGUAAUACGGAGGGUGCAAGCGUUGUUCGGAAUUACUGGGCGUAAAGGGCGUGCAGGCGGUUUGGCAAGUCAGAUGUGAAAGCCCUGGGCUUAACCCGGGAAGUGCAUUUGAAACUGCCUUUCUUGAGUAUGGGAGAGGAGAGUGGAAUUCCCAGUGUAGAGGUGAAAUGCGUAGAUAUUGGGAGGAACACCCGUGGCGAAGGCGACUCUCUGGACCAAUGCUGACGCUGAGACGCGAAAGCGUGGGGAGCAAACAGGAUUAGAUACCCGGGUAGUC